CGCUAUCAUCCUACGGGAGGCAGCAGUGGGGAAUAUUGCACAAUGGGCGCAAGCCUGAUGCAGCCAUGCCGCGUGUGUGAAGAAGGCCUUCGGGUUGUAAAGCACUUUCAGUCGUGAGGAAGGUAGUGUAGUUAAUAGCUGCAUUAUUUGACGUUUAGCGACAGAAGAAGCACCGGCUAACUCCGUGCCAGCAGCCGCGGUAAUACGGAGGGUGCGAGCGUUAAUCGGAAUUACUGGGCGUAAAGCGCAUGCAGGUGGUUUGUUAAGUCAGAUGUGAAAGCCCGGGGCUCAACCUCGGAAUAGCAUUUGAAACUGGCAGACUAGAGUACUGUAGAGGGGGUAGAAUUUCAGGUGUAGCGGUGAAAAUGCGUAGAGAUCUGAAGGAAUACCGGUGGCGAAGGCGGCCCCCUGGACAGAUACUGACACUCAGAUGCGAAAGCGUGGGGAGCAAACAGGAUUAGAUACCCUGGUAG
rnacentral:rRNA from 1 species